CGCCCCCCCCCGAAUAAGUAGGCCUAAAAGCAGCCACCUUUAAAACAGCGUCAAAGCUUUCACGCAACACCAACCAAAUACCCUCCCCCAACCAGAACCCGUAAACACUAUUGAGUGAUCCUAUGAUCUUAUAGGAAACCCCAUGCUAGAAUAAGUAACACGAGGGGCAGCCCCCUCUCUACAGCACAAGUGUACAUCAGAACAGACAACCUACUGAUAAUUAACGCCCCUGAAAAACGACAGCAACUCAACAAGAAAACACUGCCCUCCUCCCCCGUUAACCUAACACAAGACUGCCUUUAGAAAGAUUCAAAGAAGUGGAAGGAACUCGGCAAACUACAAGCCCCGCCUGUUUACCAAAAACAUCGCCUCUUGAUUUAAUAAGAGGUCUAGCCUGCCCAGUGACUCAAUUCAACGGCCGCGGUAUCCUGACCGUGCGAAGGUAGCGUAAUCACUUGUUCUUUAAAUAAGGACUAGUAUGAAUGGCAUUACGAGGGUUUUACUGUCUCCCACCUCCAAUCAGUGAAAUUAAUCUCCCCGUGAAGAAGCGGGGAUAAAGCUAUAAGACGAGAAGACCCCAUGGAGCUUAAAACAAAAGGCACCGCUAACCCCCCCCCCAGUUAAGCAUCCUGACCCUUAGUUUUUGGUUGGGGCGACCGCGGAGAAAAACCCCCCCUCCACGCUGAACUACACCAAGCUAAGAGCUACUACUCUAAGCAUCAACACCUUGACAUCCCUUGACCCAAUCUUAUUGACCAACGAACCAAGUUACCCUGGGGAUAACAGCGCAAUCUACUUCAAGAGCCCCUAUCGACAAGUAGGUUUACGACCUCGAUGUUGGAUCAGGGUACCCAAGUGGUGCAGCCGCUGCUAAUGGUUCGUUUGUUCAACGAUUAAAACCCU
rnacentral:rRNA from 1 species